GCCGGGUGCGGUGGCACGUGCCUGUAGUCCCAGGUACUCGGGAGGCUGAGGUGGGAGGAUCGCUUGAGCUCAGAAGUUCUGCGUCAUAGUGCGCUAUGCUGAUCGGGCGUCCCACUAAGUUCGGCAUCAAUAUGGUGAGCUCCCGGGAGCAGGGGACCAACAGGUUGCCUAAGGAGGGGUGAACUGGCUCAGGUCAGAAAUGGAGCAGGUAAGAACUCCUGUGCUGAUCAGUAGGUAGUGAUCGUGCCUGUGAAUAGCCACUGCCCUCCAGCCUGGGCAACAUAGAGUGACCCCCAUCUCUA
rnacentral:SRP_RNA from 1 species